rnacentral:rRNA from 1 species
GACGAACGCUGGCGGCGUGCUUAACACAUGCAAGUCGAACGGAAAGGCCCUGCUUUUGUGGGGUGCUCUAGUUGCGAACGGGUGAGUAACACGUGAGUAACCUGCCCUUGACUUUGGGAUAACUUCAGGAAACUGGGGCUAAUACCGGAUAGGAGCUCCUGCUGCAUGGUGGGGGUUGGAAAGUUUCGGCGGUUGGGGAUGGACUCGCGGCUUAUCAGCUUGUUGGUGGGGUAGUGGCUUACCAAGGCUUUGACGGGUAGCCGGCCUGAGAGGGUGACCGGCCACAUUGGGACUGAGAUACGGCCCAGACUCCUACGGGAGGCAGCAGUGGGGAAUAUUGCACAAUGGGCGGAAGCAUGAUGCAGCAAAGCCGCGUGCGGGAUGACGGCCUUCGGGUUGUAAACCGCUUUCGCCUGUGACGAAGCGUGAGUGACGGUAAUGGGUAAAGAAGCACCGGCUAACUACGUG